UCGACGACAAAGAAGAAGAACAAAGAAGAAGGAAGCCUCGGCGGAUCCCGAACCGCCCGCGGGUCAGCCCCGAGUUGGCCGUCGUCUUCGGUGGACGUCCGAGGUCCCCCCCGAAGACCGCGCGCUCUGAGGAGACGUCGGCGUCGUCGUGAGGCGCGUGAAACUCCACGACCCCUCGGGCCCCCCCCCCCCCAGAGUCCUCCCCCCCGGGGACCGGAAAGAGGACCAGGCAGCCGCUGCCCCCCAUGGAGACCGUCCCGCUAGCCGACCAAUCCUGCCACCGCGCAGGAAUAUCGAUAAACGAUUUCGGCGGAGGCGUGUACCUCUCCCGGUGGCCACCGUCAGCGACGACCGUUGUUCAGCCGCUCCCAAAUGAGGACGACACCGCGGUGCUGCCCUCUCCGUGCCAAGCCCCUGCCACGUCUACCGGUGAAACGGGACAACCAUCGCUCUCGCAACGCGUCCCGAGCGCGUUCUUGCCUUGCGUCCACGGUCAUCCUGUCCUGCUACCGCAGCUGGUGCUUCACGGACCGAGGAACAAGAAGCUGCCGUCCCGCUGCCGCCACUUCACGAGUGUGGUCCUCCAUUUCGUAGCGUCCAUAUUCGCCCUGAACCUGCUGCCUAUACUCGCCGCUGCGCUUCUACGACGCUACCGCAAAGCCAGGCUUCUGCGGGCGACGGCGCUGAAGCCGACGAAUCGGGGUCCGUACACUGCGACGUUAGCGCCGGGCUGUCCACAGAAGAACAGUCGACUACGCGGCGGGGGCCGGCAUGCCGACUGGUCGCCAACUGAAAGAAACGCCAGUCAGCUUGCUGCUAUCGAACGGCGGCGACGUCGGCCUGGAGGUAGUCGUCCCAAGACCACGAGACAAUGCGGUUGUCAACCGGCAGUGACCUCGUCGACCAUGUGGUGACUCCACGCUAAUUAGCGUAUAAGCUGACUGGGCUAGUUGGUUGACCAUGGGCAGUUCUGCACCCUGCUGCCACUGCUGGUGCUACGCGUGUAGAAGUCACUAUGAGCCAUAGCCUGAGCUAGGCUAUGUGUCAGCGAGCCGGCAGAGGAGGCCAAGCGAUCCCUGCACUGCUAUCAGAGUUUGUGUUGUUUUCUUGACCAUCAAAAACUGUUCUUUUUAAGGGCACAAGGAAUACCGGUUCCUGCGUGAAGUGGUAGUGAUAGCAUCGAGUGUCUGUCGGGGCUGCUGGCGCGCUACAGUGAUUGACUGCAAAAACUGAUGUCUCAUGUCGCGCACUGGUGACGUGGCAGCAACGUACAGACGUGGGCCACUGGCGGAGCUUAUGUUUUUUCUUCUUCUUUUUCUUGGUUUUGACUUUGUUUUUGUUUUCUUAUAUGUAGUUGAAUGGGGAGCCAUGAAAAAAUUCUUUGCAUUUCUUUAAAUUUUUUUUCGCGCCCGAACGCGGAGGUGUAAACCAAUAAAGAAAGUGUGUGUUGCCUAUUUU